GUCCUUCAGAAUGCAAAAUACCGCCGGCUUAUACAGAGGGGGCUUAUUGAUUUUACCACAAUGCAAGCAAAUAAAAUGAAACCAAACCAGCAUGAAAUUGGAAUGUUGAUAAUUAUAAAAACUUAGCAUUUACAUGUGUUUAGUUGUCUUGGCAGAGGGAGGGAUAAUAGAGAAGCGGGAGUAAUAUAUAAAUUUCUUAUUUGAAAAAAGGGGAUUUUACAGAGGGGGCUUAUUGGAGAGCGGAGUGUAAAUAAAAAUUUUACUAGUAUCUCUAGUUGACGAAGACACAUUCCUAGACUGUUGAUGUAAUUUAGACUGUUUCAGAUGCCACUGACGCUUUAGCAUUGGCUACCACAACAUAAAUAAAAUCUACAGACAUGUAAUAUGUCUGUUCCAGACUUCUAUGUUGUAUAGGUUAUCAUACUGUAUGAGGGGGGUGCGAAAACAGUUUUAUCGUUUGAGGGACGAUAUCAUAAAUGUCACGAGUGAGUCACGAGUGAGCGCAGCGAACGAGGGCCAUUUAUGAUAAUAUCAUCCUGAAAGCGAUAAAACCGAUAUCACUUCAACCCGAUUAUGAUAACCUAUUUAGUAUUUAUUAUACACCUGUGCCUUUAUCAGGGUCAGAACUUAUUAGAAUACUAAUCAUUACCCCAAUGCAACAAUUAUUAAAAUAGCGGGACAAAAAGCGAUAUCAGUGAUUUAACGUUUUCAUGUCACCCCUUUAUCGCCCUGAUAAAGGCAAAAGUAUGUGAUAAAAUACAUUUGUCUAACGAGUUUUAAUUGAAGUUUCCUUCCAAAAUAUAUAACUGCAGCAUUUAUGCUUUUUUCAAAGAUCUAGGCAAUAAAUAAAAUUAGAAGAAAGCAUUUUAUGCAAUAAGGUAUAUAUAGAUCAGAGAUCAAGUGAUUUAUCCUAGUACAGUGAAUUAUACAUGCAGUCACAGCUACACUUUGGACUAGUUAUCAUUUUUUCAAAUAAAAUCCCUCUGCAACGAAAUAUUCCAGCGUUUAUCCCACGAAAAAAUUAUGCAUGUUUGUCCACUCAAAGCCCACGCGUGAUUUGGUUCCGAAACACGCAACAUUCAGAAACAUUUAGGAAUCUACGUCCAACCUAUUUAGCACGGGUGACGACAUGAGAUUGUAUCAUUCCUUAUAAUGUUACCUGAUAUUUUGCAAGACAGUGUUAUUUAUCUUGCGAAGGUCUAAAACGUUUUGUUUUUGGCAUAUGUUCUUUUCUUUGGGAAUUAUCGCCCGAACCGUGUUUCAUCUCGGUAGCUUCUUUGUUUUUCCUAGCCGAAUGACCCAGCUUUUGUCUGCGAUGAUCCGAUGUCUUUUUUCUUGCAGUAUUGACGGGAGCUUGGUAUC